rnacentral:rRNA from 1 species
UAGGGAAUCUUCCGCAAUGGACGCAAGUCUGACGGAGCAACGCCGCGUGAGUGAAGAAGGAUUUCGGUUCGUAAAACUCUGUUGUUAGAGAAGAACAGCGCAUAGAGUAACUGUUAUGCGUGUGACGGUAUCUAACCAGAAAGCCACGGCUAACUACGUGCCAGCAGCCGCGGUAAUACGUAGGUGGCAAGCGUUGUCCGGAUUUAUUGGGCGUAAAGCGAGCGCAGGCGGUCAAUUAAGUCUGAUGUGAAAGCCCCCGGCUCAACCGGGGAGGGUCAUUGGAAACUGGUUGACUUGAGUGCAGAAGAGGAGAGUGGAAUUCCAUGUGUAGCGGUGAAAUGCGUAGAUAUAUGGAGGAACACCAGUGGCGAAGGCGACUCUCUGGUCUGUAACUGACGCUGAGGCUCGAAAGCGCGGGUAGCAAACAGG